rnacentral:rRNA from 1 species
CCUACGGGUGGCUGCAGUGAGGAAUAUUGGUCAAUGGGCUUACGCCUGAACCAGCCAAGUCGCGUGAGGGAAGACUGCCCUAUGGGUUGUAAACCUCUUUUGUCAGGGAGCAACGCCGGCUACGUGUAGCCGGACUGAGAGUACCUGAAGAAAAAGCAUCGGCUAACUCCGUGCCAGCAGCCGCGGUAAUACGGAGGAUGCGAGCGUUAUCCGGAUUUAUUGGGUUUAAAGGGUGCGUAGGCGGAAUGCCAAGUCAGAAGUGAAAUCCAUGGGCUUAACCCGUGAACUGCUUUUGAAACUGUAGGGCUUGAGUGAAGUAGAGGCAGGCGGAAUUCCCGGUGUAGCGGUGAAAUGCGUAGAGAUCGGGAGGAACACCAGUGGCGAAGGCGGCCUGCUGGGCUUUAACUGACGCUGAAGCACGAAAGCGUGGGUAGCAAACAGGAUUAGAUACCCCAGUAGUC